rnacentral:lncRNA from 1 species
CAGCAGAACAAGUCCUAGAAAUAGUGAUUAUGGAACAGUUGGUCUCUACCUUGAGUAGCGGUGUGCGAAAUUGGGUGGUUAAGAACAAACCCUCCAACCUAGAGGGCGCUGUGAAGCUGCUAGAAGACUAUUUGGAGGCUGAAGACACGUGGCAAGCCUGAACUGCAUCACAGGGAGAGAAGGCAAAACUGCGAGAGAAGAUGGCGGAACCGAGCGGUCAGAUGAGCUUUCGCGGAGCAAACCCGGCCGUGGUGAAAAAGGCGCGUCCGGACAGGAUAGAGUAUGCGAACCCGGUAGGGGCGCGGGUGCCUAGGCCGACGAUUACUAAUGACCCUGCAGGCUCCAAACAAGCAGCGACGUGGAACCUGGGGAAAGAGAAGAUGACCGCUUGCUUUGGCUGUGGCCAGUUCGCCCAUAUCCGGAAGUACUGCCCCAUAACUGAGUGUGCGUGGGCGGAGGCUUGUGCCGGGAUAACCAAGGUGGGUGAAGAAAAUCACCCAGGGUGGGUAGUAGAGGCGAAGGUUAAUGGACAGACAAAGAAGGGUUUAGUGGACACCGGGUGCAGUAGAACGCUGGUAAAGGAACUAGAGGGAGAACGUUUACCUGAGAUUACUGUUAUCCGAUGCAUUCAUGGGGAUACAAAGGAGUACGUGACUACAAUGGCCGAGGUCGAGAUAGGCGGCCAUAAGCGAGACAUGGAAGUGGGGAUAGUCCCUAGUAUGACCAGAGAAAUGCUGCUAGGGAGAGACUGGCCUGGACUGAGCAAUUUCGCUAAAGAGCCUGGGGAAAUAGGCUGGGCUCAAGAAGAGAAUGAGGCCAGGGAGUUAGAAGUCAUGAAUUUGUCUAGAGAACAAAUAAGAAGCCUACAACAAGAUGAUGCAGGACUUAACAACUGUUUGCAACAAGCGGUGGCAGAAGGGACUACACCAGAAGGGGCGAAAGGAUUUGAACUGAGGGGAGGCUUGUUGUAUCACGUAAACAAGGGGCUAGUAAAAGAGCUAGAGGGAGAACGUUUACCGGAGAUUGCUGUAAUCCGAUGCAUUCACGGGGAUGUUAAAGAAUACGCGACUACUAUGGCCGAGGUUGAGGUAGGCGGCCAUAAGCGAGACAUGGAAGUGGGGAUAGUUCCCGGUAUGACCAGGGAAAUGCUGCUAGGGAGAGACUGGCCUGGACUGAGCAAUUUGGCUAAAGAGCCUGGGGAAAUAGGCUGGGCUCAAGAAGAGAAUGAGGCCAAGGAGUUAGAAGUCAUGAAUUUGUCUAGAGAACAGAUAAGAAGCCUACAACAAGAUGAUGCAGAACUUAACAACUGUUGGCAACAAGCGGUGGCAGAAGGGACUACACCAGAAGGGGCGAAAGGAUUUGAACUGAAGGGAGGCUUGUAUCACGUAAACAAGGCAUCCAGCGAUGAAGAGUCCCAGCAGGUAAUUCCAGAGGGCUUGCGGUUUUGGGUGAUACAUUGGGCACAUGACUUACCAGUGGCUGGGCAUUUGGCUACCCAAAAGACCUUGGCUAGAGUAAAACAGCGGUUCUUUGGUCAGGAAUGUCCCAAGAUGUAGAAGAGUUCUGUCGCUCAUGUGCCAAGUGCCAGAUGACUCAGCUUAAGGCAGGACCAGGGGCAGAGCUUGUACCCAUGCCUUUGGUAGACAGACCUUUUGACAGGAUUGCUCUGGACAUCGUAGGUCCGCUAACCAAAUCGGCGGGGGGACAUCAAUACACUUUGGUGGUCAUUGAUUAUGCCACCUGCUACCCAGAAGCGGUGCCCGUGAGGUCCACAACAGCAAAAGUGUUGGCUAAAGACUUAAUUGAACUGUUUUCCAGAGUGGGUUUUCCAAAGGAGGUGUUAACCGAUCAAGGCUCUAAUUUUAUGAGCCUGACCUUUAAACAGAUGUGGCAGUUGUUAGGGGUCAAACCUUUGAGAACAUCGGUCUAUCACCCGCAGGCCAAUGGCCUGGUGGAAAGGUUUAAUCGAACCCUAAAGGGGAUGCU